GGUUCCGUGGUGUAGUGGUUAUCACGUCUGCUUUACACGCAGAAGGACCCCGGUUCGAUCCCGGGCGGAAUCA
rnacentral:tRNA from 1 species